UUUAGACUUGAGCGGAGAAACCAGAGAAGUGAGUUGCUGCCAUCGUUUGUGGAUGAUCAAAGGAGUCGAAUAAAUAAAUUUCACACAAAUUAACAGUGUGAUGAACUACAUUAGGUCGUACUAAACAUCCUAAUCUGGAAAUUCGAUCCCUUGCUUCGCGUUGUCAGAAAAUAUCAAGUUUGAUCAGGAAAGUACUUUUUGUCCUCCACGAUGCCACCAAGGUCAUCUUCAACCUUGCCAUUCAUGAGGUGCAUGACAUAAAAGAAAGGUAAAUGCAAUGUAGUAUUGGAUUUACUGAAUCUCACACUUCUCUUUGGUUUAAGGUGAAGAGGCUGAUUUGGACAAUGGGUGUCUCAUCCGAUUGAUUCAUUUUUUGAGGUAAUCUGCAUUGCUAUAAAGAGAUAUAAAUUGGUUCCCAGUUAAUAAACGGUAUGAAUCUCAAUCCUAGGCUCUCUACUGAAGACUUAUGGUUAGCAUGUUUUGACUAUUAUGUUUAAUGGUGUAAUACUACUUAUUUAUGAGCAAGGUAAUUUGGGUUUCAUUGGUUCUGUAUGUUACUUUACUCUAAACAUCGAACUUAGAAUUUUAGGAUUAUAAUAGCGUAACCUGGAAAUUUUGGUACAAAUUUAUUCUUCUUUUGUUCAUUGUAAUCCAUGUGUCAAAGAUUUCGUUUUGUUUGCUAGAUUUUCCUUUGAAUUUUUUAUUUUGGCAUGUUUAAUUUCUUUUAAAACAAAGUUUCAUGGUUCAAAAUGGAAAUUUUGGUACAAAUUUAUUCUUCUUUUGUUCAUUGUAAUCCAUGUGUCAAAGAUUUCGUUUUGUUUGCUAGAUUUUCCUUUUGAAUCUUUUUAUUUUGGCAUGUUUAAUUUCUUUUAGAACAAAGUUUCAUGGUUCAAAACGGUGCAUCAAUGAAUAUGAAUUUGUGGCACAAUGGUAGUGCGUCUGACAUUAAGUUAGAAGGUUGUGUGUUCAAUUCACACCAGAUUCAGUCUUCUAUAGUAAUCACUUUUGUAUUGCAUCCUUUACCCUAAGUUACAAGUAGUAAAAAAAGUACCAAAUAUGGACAUAGAAUUAACAUUGAUGAUUGAAUUAUGUUAUACCAGAUGAAUAAUGCACUACGCAUUCAUGCCACCACCAGUAUUAAUAAGUACAUUACAUCUUUUAUAGAUGAGGGAAACCUUCUUUUAGCUUUGUGAAUGGGUCACUAAUCACAAGUGAUCACAAAUUCUCUGAUAUUAGCUACUUCCAUACACCUAAUUCUCUCAUUAAAUUAUUUUGCAUUUGAUUCACCAACCUGUGUACUUUUAGCACUCAAGUUUUAAACGAAUUAAGUGCUGGGAGUCUACUUUCUAUACUGUUUGGAAUCGUAUCUUUGAGAUGCGGAGCGGGAAGAAAAAGGAGAAAUGAUAAAAUCUCCAAAAAUUAUGGAACUCAGUUCUCUAUUUCUAUUCUUGGGUGAAUACCUCUAGAACCCAGUUCCCUAUUUUGCACAUUGUGGCAAGUCAGCAAGGUAAAAUACAAGUCAGAAAAUUCUACUGAAAUUCUGUUUUCUUAUUUGUAGGUUACCUUAGUGCAGGUCUAUCCAAGCUACUGAAAUAUCCAAGUGAUGCUCAACUGUUCUCAAGGGGAAUAAGGCUUCUAUCAGAACGUACGACAAUGAGGAGGUUACUCAGAUAUUUAGGUACAGAAAUGAGGAAGUUAUCACGGACAUAACACAUACUAUAAGAAAAAGAUAUUGGUUUGAUCAGCUAUUUAUUUGUUGCUCUGCAAUAAGUUAGGAGUUCCCUUUUCCUCGAUUUUUUUCCAUGCAAGUGGUCGUCUUUUAAUAACUGUGGUUGAAACCUAUUUGGGACAUUUUUGCCUGGAGUUCACCCUUGCACUUGGUUCCAAAAGUCUGGAUUUCAAAAAGGUGGAGAUUAUAGGAAAGCACAUGAAUACUUUCAAAAACCUCAAACCUUGCAUUUUAGUGAACUUUGCCAUUUCAUGGUUAAUUUUUGUGCUAAGUCUGCAAUAGCCAAUAUCAAUAGUUGCGUACCAUAAUACCAAAUUGCGAAAUUUGCUAUAAAGAUGAUGUUCGAAAACUGAAGAAAAAAAGAAGCUGAUGAAGAGGUAAGCAAUACACAACCUAACAUGCAUCCACAUUAGUAAUUUCAUUAUCCCAUUGGCGAUGUUAUCACAUCAGGAAAUCUGUUGACAUUGCCUUGAAGAAGCCAUAAUAUGUCUAGAAAACCACAACAGGGUUAUGGAUACCAGAAUUGGGGUUUUGUUUACUUGAUUUGGAGCUCAAAAUUGUACACUUUUUCAAUUAAUAAAUUCACAGGUUAAAUAUCUAUCCAUCUUGCUUAUGUCUAUGAGAUGCGAGCCAUGUAGUGGCGCUUGCUUGGUUAUCUUGAAAAUAUAAAAUAAUAAAAAUUCACUUCUAUACCAGGGGUUGAUUUAUGAAACAAAGUUCUUUUUUCUUUGUGUUUCUUGGACAGGUUUAGUUAGUACAUACAUUCUAAUUUGAUAUAAAAUUCAUUGGAGGUUGUUUUUAGCUCCUUCGAACAAGUUCGACCAAGGAUACUCGCAUGUACCCCAAUUAGCAUACUAAUUUUCUGACACAUAUGUUGAACUUUUCUGUAAGACGAGGAAGGACCUCUAGUUAGGCACCUUGCAAGCUGCAACUUAACAGUGUGUGUACACAUAGGGUCAUUAGUUGUUACCAGAAGUGACACAAAUAGGAACUGGCAUUACAGUGCAGAGG